GAUGAACGCUAGCGGCAGGCUUAAUACAUGCAAGUCGAGGGGCAGCACGGUUAGCAAUAACUGGUGGCGACCGGCGCACGGGUGCGUAACACGUAUACAAUCUACCUUAAACAGGGGGAUAGCCUUUCGAAAGAGAGAUUAAUACCCCGUAAUAAAUUGAACGGCAUCGUUUGAUUUUGAAAGCUCCGGCGGUUUGAGAUGAGUAUGCGUCUGAUUAGCUAGUUGGUGAGGUAACGGCUCACCAAGGCGACGAUCAGUAGGGGAUCUGAGAGGACUAACCCCCACACUGGUACUGAGACACGGACCAGACUCCUACGGGAGGCAGCAGUAAGGAAUAUUGGUCAAUGGAGGCAACUCUGAACCAGCCAUGCCGCGUGCAGGAUGACGGCCCUAUGGGUUGUAAACUGCUUUUGAACGGGAAGAAAUCUAUUUACGUGUAAAUAGUUGACGGUACCGUUAGAAUAAGGAUCGGCUAACUUCGUGCCAGCAGCCGCGGU
rnacentral:rRNA from 1 species